AAAUUGAAGAGUUUGAUCAUGGCUCAGAUUGAACGCUGGCGGCAGGCCUAACACAUGCAAGUCGAACGGUAACAGGAAGCAGCUUGCUGCUUUGCUGACGAGUGGCGGACGGGUGAGUAAUGUCUGGGAAACUGCCUGAUGGAGGGGGAUAACUACUGGAAACGGUGGCUAAUACCGCAUAACGUCGCAAGACCAAAGAGGGGGACCUUCGGGCCUCUUGCCAUCAGAUGUGCCCAGAUGGGAUUAGCUUGUUGGUGAGGUAACGGCUCACCAAGGCGACGAUCCCUAGCUGGUCUGAGAGGAUGACCAGCCACACUGGAACUGAGACACGGUCCAGACUCCUACGGGAGGCAGCAGUGGGGAAUAUUGCACAAUGGGCGCAAGCCUGAUGCAGCCAUGCCGCGUGUAUGAAGAAGGCCUUCGGGUUGUAAAGUACUUUCAGCGGGGAGGAAGGUGUUGCGGUUAAUAACCGCAGCAAUUGACGUUACCCGCAGAAGAAGCACCGGCUAACUCCGUGCCAGCAGCCGCGGUA
rnacentral:rRNA from 1 species